rnacentral:rRNA from 1 species
AUUGAACGCUGGCGGCAGGCCUAACACAUGCAAGUCGAGCGAGCGGCGGACGGGUGAGUAAUGCCUGGGAAACUGCCUGAUGGAGGGGGAUAACUACUUGAAACGGUAGCUAAUACCGCAUACCAUCAGAUGUGCCCAGAUGGGAUUAUCUAGUAGGUGGGGUAACGGCUACCCAAUGCGACGAUCCCUAGCUGGUCUGAGAGGAUGACCAGCCACACUGGAACGGAGACACGGUCCAGACUCCAACGGGAGGCAGCAGUGGGGAGUAUUGGAAAAGGGGCGCAGGCCUGAUGCAGCCAUGCCACGUGUGUGAAGAAGGCCUUCGGGUUGUAAAGCACUUACAGCGGGGAGGCGUUACCCGAAGAAGAAGCACCGGCUAACUCCGUGCCAGCAGCCGCGGUAAUAC